rnacentral:lncRNA from 1 species
GGCCAGCCCAGGCAUGACAUUGUCAAGCACCCAGCAGAUAGCCAUGGCAUUGGAGAGAAGAAAAAAAGAAAAUCAUCCUUCAGACUCUGAAAUGAAAGCUGAGAAGACACGAAGUUACAUCCAGAGUAAACAAUCUGAAUGAAUUACCUGACUUUGAUUCAGCAGAGAAAUUUGGAUUGCUCAACUUGUUCUGGAUUCUCCUGAAUCAAGACUGAAAUUUGUUGUGCCCCUUGGAGACCGUGUCUUUCUACCCAGCGGGAUAUAGCUGGCUCCUCUUCUCACCUGCUUUGUCCUGUUGCCACUAUAUUUCCAUGCCUCACUGCAAAAUUCUGAGAAGGCACAGAUUUGGUUGAAUCUGCUGACAUGGAACUUGCAGAUACGGAGGCCUGGCUGCAUGUAGAUCCUGGCUUUUGCAGACUUACUAUACCUGGAUCUACGCCAGGGAUUCUCAUUGUUGGUACUAUUAACCUUUUGGGUGGGAUCAUUCUUUGUUGUGGGAGGCUGUCCUGUACUUUGUAGGAUGUUUAGCAGCAUCCAAGUCCCCUACCCACUGGACACCAGAGCCACUCCUCAGCUCUGCCAGUUGUGACAAUUAAAAAUGUCUUCUGAUACUGUCCCUGGGGACAAAAUUGCCCCUGGUUGAUAACUACUGAUCUGUUAUAGUUUGCUGGAUUUUUUUGAGAAGUAAGUGGUGCCAUCGUGUAAUGGUGAGCACUCUGGACUCUGAAUCCAGAGAAGUAAGUGGUGAAAGCAUAUCAUCAACUGAGAUAGUUUCAAUUAAAGGCCAGUUUGAGAAGGUCUAGGAUGGAUGGAUUCAUUUUUCAUUGAAUAUCUGCAUGCUGCUCCACAUACCAUAUUUUACUCUUGUUUUAUUUAGACUUGGUAAACCUCACAAUCCUUGUGUGCUACACUGAGAACAGAGGUAGAGCCUGUUGGUUCAGGUGCUCUGAUUUGCCAGGACUCUGCUGAUGCUGUCUCUGGCCCUAGCAGAAUGGCAGCUUCUUAACCUUGUGUGAUGGCU